rnacentral:lncRNA from 1 species
GCUAGGGGGCAUGAAUGAUUGUGUACAUUGCAUAGAGAUGGAAAGGGAGGUGAAAAUGUGUCAAUAAAUGGAUCAAAGGUGCAGCAACAUGUGGUACACAAGGCAUGGGAUUCCAAAUGUGAAUGAUGGAGCAUCAAUUGGUGCAUGUAAUGGAUGUAAAUGUUGUCUUAAAUCUAAUGAGUGAAGGGAACAAGAGGUAUCAAGCAAUUGAGUGUAAUAAUUAAAUGAAUUGAAGCAUGAAAUUAGAAAUUAUGUAGGGAACAAGAGUGAUCAAGCAUGGCAUGGAAUCCAAAGGGAAUUCUAUGUGGUUUGCAUGGCAAGGAAUGCAAGUUGG